CUGUAGCUAUCAUUGAAAAUCGAUUCAAAAUCUAAGAACCUAAUAAAUACUUGUGUAUGUAUUAUCAAAAGCAGUGGGAUGCUUACAAUGAUACAUUACAACAAGUAGGCAAAGGUAACUGUUUUAUUAAACCGUAAGCUGCGCCUUCAUUCGGUCCGUACUUACGUAAUCGAAAACACAGAGAGUGAAAAUCAAGCGUAAUCCUACUUUCGUUGGCGAGAGAAGAAGCGCCUCCCGGCACUUUUGCCAUGGCCGUGGAUCAACCGACUAACGGCCGACCUUCCACCGUUGUGCAAGUCUUCUCGAAUACGAGGUCACUGAGAUCUACGCACAUAUAUAAUAGCAUAAUGAAAUCAUGAUGUCUGAGAUGCAAAGUUAAAACGGCGAGAAUAACGUUAGUGUAAACGGUACACCCAUGAACUGUUAUCCUUGCCGAGGUACUGAUGAGGGGACCCACUGGCCCAACGAUCAACUCGACUCUCAGUUCGCUCAACAAUGUCGUUUCGUCAACACUUUCGAAAAGUAUCUUUCAUCGCUAUAUUAGUUGUCUUAUUUUCAGAGAUGCAAUUGAAUCCUCUAUACGAGAUCUGUUGGCAUUGGUAACCAGUAAAAGAGGCAGACGACAGCAGAGAAUCAAGAAUACCGGUCGGACGAACAUAGAAGCGGGUGAGAGUGGGACAAAGAUAAAAAAAGAAAAAGCAACAGCGAGAGGGAAAGGGAGGGAAAAGAGGAAGACAGAGAAUAGUAACGCAGAAUGCCCGGACAACGCUCCCGUGGAGCUGGGGCCAACUAACGGUCCACACCACCACCAUUGGGACCAUCGACUUCGAUGGUCCUCAUCCUUCUCCUUCUUCUCUUCCAUUCGUCUUUCAUUUAUUCGUUUUUCUUUCCUCUUUUGCCUCUUUGAUGUUUCCACAAUAUGCAUUUUAAAAAGU